rnacentral:rRNA from 1 species
AGAGUUUGAUCAUGGCUCAGAACGAACGCUGGCGGCAGGCUUAACACAUGCAAGUCGAACGCCCCCCUCGGGGGGAGUGGCAGACGGGUGAGUAACGCGUGGGAACCGACCCAAUGGUACGGAAUAACUCGAGGAAACUCGUGCUAAUACCGUAUACGCCCUACGGGGGAAAGAUUUAUCGCCAUUGGACGGGCCCGCGUCGGAUUAGCUAGUUGGUGUGGUAAUGGCUCACCAAGGCAACGAUCCGUAGCUGGUCUGAGAGGAUGAUCAGCCACACUGGGACUGAGACACGGCCCAGACUCCUACGGGAGGCAGCAGUGGGGAAUAUUGGACAAUGGGCGAAAGCCUGAUCCAGCCAUGCCGCGUGGGUGAAGAAGGCCUUAGGGUUGUAAAUCCCUUUCAGCGGG